CUUUGUGAGAUUGAGUUGGGUCACUUCGAGUUGCUGUCGUCUUUAGCUUCAGGAGUCAGAGGUUUAUUUUUGUACCAGAAUCGAAGCCUCCGUUUGGAGCAGGUUCUUAUUUAUCGCUUUAUUUAUUUAUUUUCCGCAUCGCUUUAUUUAUUUAUUUCCCGCAUCGCUUUUAUUUUAUUUAUUUCCAGCAUCGCUUUUAUUUUAUUUAUUUCCCGCACUCGCUUUACUUUUUUUAUUUUCCGCAUCGCUUUUAUUUUAUUUAUUUU
rnacentral:lncRNA from 1 species